UACGGAGGAUCCGAGCGUUAUCCGGAUUUAUUGGGUUUAAAGGGAGCGUAGGUGGAGGUGCAAGUCAGCGGUCAAAUUGCGGGGCUCAACCCCGUACUGCCGUUGAAACUGGAAGACUUGAGUGUGUUUGAGGUAGGCGGAAUGCGUGGUGUAGCGGUGAAAUGCAUAGAUAUCACGCAGAACUCCGAUUGCGAAGGCAGCUUACUAAGCCAUAACUGACACUGAAGCACGAAAGCGUGGGGAUCAAACAGG
rnacentral:rRNA from 1 species